rnacentral:rRNA from 1 species
AUGAACUUAGCUUGCUAAGUUUGAUGGCGACCGGCGCACGGGUGAGUAACACGUAUCCCACUUUCCGUUUACUCAGGGAUAGCCUUUCGAAAGAAAGAUUAAUACCUGAUAGUAUGGUGAGAUUGCAUGAUAGCACCAUUAAAGAUUUAUUGGUAAACGAUGGGGAUGCGUUCCAUUAGGUAGUAGGCGGGGUAACGGCCCACCUAGCCGACGAUGGAUAGGGGUUCUGAGAGGAAGGUCCCCCACAUUGGAACUGAGACACGGUCCAAACUCCUACGGGAGGCAGCAGUGAGGAAUAUUGGUCAAUGGACGAGAGUCUGAACCAGCCAAGUAGCGUGAAGGAUGACUGCCCUAUGGGUUGUAAACUUCUUUUAUACGGGAAUAAAGUGAGCCACGUGUGGCUUUUUGUAUGUACCGUAUGAAUAAGGAUCGGCUAACUCCGUGCCAGCAGCCGCGGUAAUACGGAGGAUCCGAGCGUUAUCCGGAUUUAUUGGGUUUAAAGGGAGCGUAGGCGGAAUUUUAAGUCAGUUGUGAAAGUUUGCGGCUCAACCGUAAAAUUGCAGUUGAUACUGGAAUUCUUGAGUGCGGUAAAGGCAGGCGGAAUUCGUGGUGUAGCGGUGAAAUGCUUAGAUAUCACGAAGAACUCCGAUUG